rnacentral:rRNA from 1 species
AUGAAUAUCUUUUGUUGGAACUGCCAUUGUAUGGACAAAGCCAUGACAGUUCGGGAGCUUCGCGAUUUCGCGAGAAAGUUUGCCCCUGCCGUGUUGUGCAUAGUUGAAACUCAAAUAAAUGCAGCACGUGUAGAAUCUUUAGCUAACACUAUAGGUUAUGAUAAAGCUUAUGCUAUCAGUAGUAAAGGCAGGAGUGGUGGCAUCGGUAUCUUUUGGAGUAAUAAUACGGUUAUUGAGAUGUUGGGAGACUCGGUGUACCAUAUUGAUGCAAAGGUUGAAGAAGUGGGACAAGAUCCUUGGAGGUUGACGUGUCUAUGGAGCACUGGUGGAGCUACGUGUAUUAAAUAUAGGCCACGCACGGCCUGGCCAGCUAGUACCAAAUGCAAUGGAGGAUUCAAAGUAGAUUGA